GAUGAACGCUAGCGAUAGGCUUAACACAUGCAAGUCGAGGGGCAGCAUGGUCUUAGCUUGCUAAGACUGAUGGCGACCGGCGCACGGGUGCGUAACGCGUAUGCAACUUGCCUCACAGAGGGGGAUAACCCGUCGAAAGACGGACUAAUACCGCGUACACUCUAUUUUGGGCAUCCAAGGUAGAGGAAAUGAAAUUCGCUGUGAGAUAGGCAUGCGUCCCAUUAGCUAGUUGGUGAGGUAACGGCUCACCAAGGCGACGAUGGGUAGGGGAACUGAGAGGUUGAACCCCCACACUGGUACUGAGACACGGACCAGACUCCUACGGGAGGCAGCAGUGAGGAAGAUUGGUCAAUGGGCGAGAGCCUGAACCAGCCAAGUCGCGUGAAGGAUGACUGUCUUAUGGAUUGUAAACUUCUUUUGUAGGGGAAUAAAGAGGGGCACGUGUGCCCCAGUGAAUGUACCCUACGAAUAAGCAUCGGCUAACUCCGUG
rnacentral:rRNA from 1 species